AACGAACGCUGGCGGCAGGCUUAACACAUGCAAGUCGAACGCGUGUAGCAAUACACGAGUGGCGCACGGGUGAGUAACACGUGGGAACAUGCCCUUCAGUUCAGGAUAACCACUGGAAACGGUGGCUAAUACUGGAUAUUCCCUCCGGGGGAAGAUUAUCGCUGAAGGAUUGGCCCGCGUUAGAUUAGGUAGUUGGUGGGGUAAUGGCCUACCAAGCCUACGAUCUAUAGCUGGCUGAGAGGACGACCAGCCACACUGGAACUGAGACACGGUCCAGACUCCUACGGGAGGCAGCAGUGGGGAAUAUUGGACAAUGGGCGAAAGCCUGAUCCAGCCAUGCCGCGUGAGUGAUGAAGGCCUUAGGGUUGUAAAGCUCUUUCGACGGGGACGAUAAUGACGGUACCCGUAGAAGAAGCCCCGGCUAACUUCGUGCCAGCCGCCGCCGU
rnacentral:rRNA from 1 species